rnacentral:rRNA from 1 species
CUACGGGCGGCACCAGUGAGGAAUAUUGCACAAUGGGGGGAACCCUGAUGCAGCAACGCCGCGUGGAGGAUGUCGCAUUUCGGUGUGUAAACUCCUUUUAUAUGUCAAGAAAAUAACGGUAGCAUAUGAAUAAGCACCGGCUAACUCCGUGCCAGCAGCCGCGGUAAUACGGAGGGUGCAAGCGUUACUCGGAAUCACUGGGCGUAAAGGACGCGUAGGCGGGUUGGAAAGUCAGGUGUGAAAUCCUACAGCUUAACUGUAGAACUGCACUUGAAACUUCCAAUCUAGAGUAUGGGAGGGGGAGAUGGAAUUAGUGGUGUAGGGGUAAAAUCCGUAGAUAUCACUAGGAAUACCUAAAGCGAAGGCGAUCUCCUGGAACAUUACUGACGCUAAGGCGUGAAAGCGUGGGGAGCAAACAGGAUUAGAUACCCUAGUAGUC